rnacentral:misc_RNA from 1 species
UCUGCAUGGUUCAGCGCAGCAUAAACAGAAGCAGGCUUGCCCCGAGAAGCGCAACUCCGGAAUAGCAGGCACAGAGAAAGCCGUUACAGACGCGCUUAAGCUGGAUCGACGACAUCGCGCACUCGUGAAUAUACUGAGGCUAUGAUGCCCCUGGACUAAUUAAAAAUUUCCGAAUCUUGCGAGUUCCAUUGCCGGGCUCCGCCCGGCGUUUUCCCGAACAGCUCACACCUUGCAGCGAAUGAAAUUGGUGGGUCCGGAUAACGACUUCCAACUAGUUGGCGUGCAAUGAAU